AGUGAACGCUGGCGGUAGGCCUAACACAUGCAAGUCGAACGGCAGCACAGUAAGAGCUUGCGCUUACGGGUGGCGAGUGGCGGACGGUUGGUGAAUACAUCGGAAUCUACUUUUUCGUGGGGGAUAACGUAGGGAAACUUACGCUAAUACCGCAUACGACCUACGUGUGGAAUCAUGGGAUCUUCGGACCUUGCGCGAUUGAAUGAGCCGAUGUCGGAUUAGCUAGUUGGCGGGGUAAAGGCCCGCCAAGGCGACGAUCCGUAGCUGGUCUGAGAGGAUGAUCAGCCACACUGGAACUGAGACACGGUCCAGACUCCUACGGGAGGCAGCAGUGGGGAAUAUUGGACAAUGGGCGCAAGCCUGAUCCAGCCAUACCGCGUGGGUGAAGAAGGCCUUCGGGUUGUAAAGCCCUUUUGUUGGGAAAGAAAAGCAGCAGGUUAAUACCCCGCUGUUCUGACGGUACCCAAAGAAUAAGCACCGGCUAACUUCGUG
rnacentral:rRNA from 1 species